CUGAGUCUGCCUUGAAUCUGC
rnacentral:siRNA from 1 species